rnacentral:rRNA from 1 species
UACGUAGGGGGCUAGCGUUGUUCGGAAUUACUGGGCGUAAAGGGCGCGUAGGUGGCCUUCUAAGUUGAACGUGAAAUCCCUGGGCUCAACCCAGGAACUGCGUCCAAGACUGGGAGGCUUGAAUCCGGGAGAGGGAUGCGGAAUUCCAGGUGUAGCGGUGAAAUGCGUAGAUAUCUGGAGGAACACCGGUGGCGAAGGCGGCAUCCUGGACCGGUAUUGACACUGAGGCGCGAAAGCCAGGGGAGCAAACGGG